rnacentral:tRNA from 1 species
CGCGGUCAUGGCCGCCGGCAUGGUGCCGCCGCUCGCGCUGGCGCUCGCCUCCACGGUGAUCGACCGCCGCCUGUUCAGCCCGGCCGAGCGCGA